GGUGGAGCAAAUCCCUAAAAGCCAUCCCAGUUCGGAUCGCAGGCUGCAACCCGCCUGCGUGAAGUUGGAAUCGCUAGUAAUCGCGGAUCAGCAUGCCGCGGUGAAUACGUUCCCGGGCCUUGUACACACCGCCCGUCACACCAUGAGAGUCGGGAACACCCGAAGUCCGUAGUCUAACCGCAAGGGGGGCGCGGCCGAAGGUGGGUCCGGUAAUUGGGGUGAAGUCGUAACAAGGUAAC
rnacentral:rRNA from 1 species